rnacentral:lncRNA from 1 species
CUCUCUCUCUCUCUCUCUCUCUCUCUCUCUCUCUCUAACGCUUGCUCUCCCUUCUCUUUAUAACCUUCUGGUUCUCUUCUUCUUAUCUGACAAGCUUCAUCGCCUCUCCAGCCUUGCUCCAUCCUCACUUCUCUCGACCACUAGCCACCAUGGGAUCCUAUAUCGCUACUUCUCUACAAGGUUUGAAGCCCCAGAAGCUUCCACCAUGAAUAUGGUUACUGAAUCCUCGCUAGGGUCUGUUCCGGCCUUUCUCCGAUGGAUUUUGGUUCAAUGAUGCUAAAAACACCAUUAUCCUUGAGCUUCACAGCCAGGUUUCUCUUACCCCUCUCACUGAUUUCUUAUGAAACCCUAAUCUUAACCCAAACCUCUCAAAUCUUUGAUUUUUAAUGAUUUUAACUCGUACCUUUAUGUUUUGCACUAUUUGUUUUACUCAAUAUUUACGAUUACUCCAGUUUCAAACGAUUAUUCUCCCUUUUGAAAUUAGGGUUUCUGACCCCCUUUACGAAAUGAUUUUACCUUCUAAGUUUUGAGUACUAUUCGUGAUUCUUCUAAAUAUUUUGCUUAAGCCUGAUAAAACCCUAGCCUUAUAUGUUUAUGUUUGUGUUAUUUGCUUAUUUGUGUGUUCUUCUAGGUUCUUCUCUAAUGUCUCGUGUUCUUUGAUUUAAUUUUUGGUUACAAUGAUGUGUUCUCUGUUCAAAGUUUCUCUGACUGUUUGCAUGAUGAUUUUAUACUGAUUCUUAUAAGCCUCUUUUUGAAAUUGUGAUAUUUCCCAUAGAAUUGGAUUCCGCGUAUUGUCCUUAUAGUUUGGGGUUAAUUUCAAAAUUUCAUCCUCAAUCUGUGGGAUUCUUUCCUUUAUUAAUAUUGUUCUCCUAAGUUCUCAAUAUCGUCCCUUAUUUUCUGGGGAUUAUUGUCCAAAUUGGAGCAGUAUCCCGCCCUAUAUGUGUGCAUAAGUGUGUUGAUUGAUUUGUCUGACCUGUUUCCCUAAUUAGACUAUCAUGUACCUAGUCUCUAUUGCAUGCUUUAUGCUAUUCUGUUCCUUAUGUGAUCAUACCUUGUAAUUUCUUUCCUUUUAAACAGUUGCUUAUUACCAUUUAACUUUGAUUCCUUAAUUAAAGGGUAGUCCUUAUACUGAUUCGAUUUUUAUUGAUGCCAGUUCCUUAAUUAGGGUUUGCUGCCUUGUUUGUUUACUCGUAUUCAGUACUAUGAGUACCCUCCCCCAUUCUCUUUGCAAGACACGAACACAUUGCUUAACACACACACACAAACACAAAUAAACUCAAUGUUCUGUACCAUCUCUCUUUUCACACAAACAUCUUUGUGCUAUGUGUUUCUACAUAUUUUCUUUCACUUUCCUGUUGAAUGCUAAUCACUCAAUUGGAUGCAAGCCAAGAUUGAGAAACCUUGGUCACUUUUAUCAUUCUGCUAGUCUCUACUGUGUUGUUUGCUUUGGGACUGCCUGCUACUCACUUCUUGCAUACUGCUGCUCUGCUCUCUGCUUCUCUCUGCACAUUACUGCUCACUUCUUUGCUCACUACUACUCUGUGUUUACAUUAUUUUCAACUGGUAUGUAUCCUAUUUAAGCUAUAGUCUCAUAAAUAAUAUGCUUCUAUUGGUGCUGCCCUUUCUUUUGUUCCUUGUGUGCUUCUACUUGUGGUUCUGCUGCUCCUACUGCAACUAGCAUGCAUUUUUGGUAAUUAGUAAGCCUAUCAUGUUCAUUACCCCCUUUGCCUACCCCAAUGCAUGUUUCCCCUUUGCUUCUGUAUACUAUUAGUAUCCUCUUGGCUACUUCGUAGCCUCAAAAACUCUAUUGAGGAUGAUUUGGUUUGGUGUUUGGUACAGUAAGAACUAGACUCCUGUUUGAAGCAUUAACUCUCCUUUAAAUGUGUGUGACUGACUGUCUUGUUUGUGAGAUGUUUGCUCCCUUUGCCUUUAUCUUUGCUUGUGUGAUUGUUGCUUUCAAAACUAGCAUCAAAGUAACUGUUUUCAAACUCAAUUAAAAAUUAUCACUCAUCUACUAUUUUUCUCAAACUGUCCUUCAUGUAAAACUUUUUCAACUCAACUCAUUCAAAUUCUAUCACAAUCACACUACUCUUAGAAUUAGAUUCUACCCCCUUGUAUAAGCAUUGAUUUGGGUACCUUGAAUACACACUGAACUUUGAUGCACAAGGUUGGCAAUUCCACACUUGCACUUAUCAAUGGUGAUUUGUUUUGGAAGCCUGGUAUUGGCCGGGGUCUCAAGAUACCCCUAGGGAACUUUGCCGCACCCAAACUCUUGGUGAAUGCUGUGAAGCUCGAAAGAAGUGAGGUUGGAGGUCUGGGCCUGGCUGAAGGCUCUCUAUAGAAUAACUUCUUGUUUUACUCUUCACUGUUGUAAUUUAAUUACUUAAUUUGUAAUAACUUACAAAGAACUAUGGGAUUUAUAGUGAAGUUGGGGAGGGUUAUGCAUGUUUAUUAAGGGUACAGAUAG